GACGAACGCUGGCGGCGCGCUUAACACAUGCAAGUCGAGCGAAGCGGCGGACGGGGGAGUAACACGUGAGUAACCUGCCUUAGACCUUGGGAUAGCCUCGGGAAACCGGGAUUCAUACCAAAUGGUCUAAGAUGGACUCAAUUCCCAUUAGCGAGUUGGUGGGUAACGGCCCACAAAGGCGACGAUGGGUAGCCGGCCUGAGAGGGUGAACGGCCACAUUGGAACUGAGAAACGGUCCAAACUCUACGGGAGGCAGCAGUGGGGAAUAUUGCACAAUGGAGGGAACUCUGAUGCAGCGACGCCGCGUGAACGAAGAAGGCUUUCGAGUCGUAAAGUUCUUUUAUAUGGGAAGCGGUACCAUAAGAAAAAGCCCCGGCUAACUACGUGCCAGCAGCCGCGGUAAUUC
rnacentral:rRNA from 1 species